rnacentral:rRNA from 1 species
UACGAAGGGUGCAAGCGUUACUCGGAAUUACUGGGCGUAAAGCGUGCGUAGGCGGUUUGUUAAGUCCGCUGUGAAAGCCCUGGGCUCAACCUGGGAAUUGCAGUGGAUACUGGCAAGCUAGAGUGCGGUAGAGGAUGGUGGAAUUCCCGGUGUAGCGGUGAAAUGCGUAGAGAUCGGGAGGAACACCUGUGGCGAAGGCGGUUCUCUGGGCCUGACCUGACGCUGAGGAGCGAAAGCGUGGGGAGCGAACAGG